AGUGAAGCGGCAACAGCUCAAAUUUGAAAUCUGGCCUUCGGGUCCGAGUUGUAAUUUGUAGAGGAUGCUUUUGGUGAGGUGCCUUCCGAGUUCCCUGGAACGGGACGCCAUAGAGGGUGAGAGCCCCGUCUGGUUGGACACCGAUCCUCUGUAAAGCUCCUUCGACGAGUCGAGUAGUUUGGGAAUGCUGCUCUAAAUGGGAGGUAUAUGUCUUCUAAAGCUAAAUAUUGGCCAGAGACCGAUAGCGCACAAGUAGAGUGAUCGAAAGAUGAAAAGCACUUUGAAAAGAGAGUUAAAAAGUACGUGAAAUUGUUGAAAGGGAAGCGCUCAUGACCAGACUUGGGCUUGGUUGAUCAUCCAGGGUUCUCCCUGGUGCACUCUUCCAGUUCAGGCCAGCAUCAGUUCGCUGUGGGGGAUAAAGGCUUUGGGAAUGUGGCUCCCUCGGGAGUGUUAUAGCCCAUUGUGUAAUACCCUGUGGUGGACUGAGGUUCGCGCAUUCGCAAGGAUGCUGGCGUAAUGGUCAUCAGCGACCCGUCUUGAAACACGGACCAAGGAGUCGUCUUCGUAUGCGAGUGUUCGGGUGUUAAACCCCUACGCGUAAUGAAAGUGAACGCAGGUGAGAGCUUCGGCGCAUCAUCGACCGAUCCUGAUGUUCUCGGAUGGAUUUGAGUAAGAGCAUACGGGGCCGGACCCGAAAGAAGGUGAACUAUGCCUGUAUAGGGUGAAGCCAGAGGAAACUCUGGUGGAGGCUCGCAGCGGUUCUGACGUGCAAAUCGAUCGUCAAAUAUGGGCAUGGGGG
rnacentral:rRNA from 1 species